AAAGAAAGGCCAUGUUUGUUUAUUCACCAUGUUCUUAAUGACAAUGUUGUUUUCCUUAAGUGUUUAUGGAAUCUUGUAUUGUCAUGGUGUGUUGGCACAUUUGAUAAGUGGUGCCUUGAUGGGGUGUCUUUGGAUUCAGAGUGGGUGGAUUGGUCAUGAUUCAGGGCAUUAUCAGGUGAUGAGCACUCGCGGAUUCAACAGAUUUGCUCAAGUCCUUACUGGGAAUUGCCUUGCUGGAAUCAGCAUUGCUUGGUGGAAGUGGAACCACAAUGCUCACCACAUUGCCUGCAACAGUCUUGAAUAUGACCCUGAU
rnacentral:misc_RNA from 1 species